rnacentral:rRNA from 1 species
GAGUAUGCUCGCAAGGGUGAAACUCAAAGGAAUUGACGGGGGCCCGCACANGCGGNGGNGCAUGUGGUUUAAUUCGAUGGUACGCGAGGAACCUUACCUGGGUUUGACAUACAGUGGAAUACGGCAGAGAUGUCGNAGCGUAGCAAUACGUCGCUGUACAGGUGCUGNAUGGCUGUCGUCAGNUCGUGCCGUGAGGUGUUGGGUUANGUCCCNCAACGAGCGCAACCCCUACUGCCAGUUACCAUCAGGUUAUGCUGGGGACUCUGGNGGAACUGCCGGUGACANACCGGUGGAAGGUGGGAUUGACGUCANGUCAUCAUGG